AGUUGCUGCUGCCCAUGACAUGUAGGAAUUAUCAUGAUCAACUACCCAGCUUGGAUUUCACCCAGUGGCCAAGAGCUUUGCGUGGGAGACGGCAAGGGUUGGAUUUUUCAAAAGAGUAAACCAGGCUGCCUUCUCCUACCACAGAUACUCUAUCCCAUUUGCUGUCAUCCAACUACUAACACCGUUUUCACUUCAGAACACCCAGCCUUUUCUGUUCUCUUCACGGCCUCCUUCCAUUAAAGCUGAAAGUAUCUGCUAUCAGUCAUUUGUCCUGACUGUGUAACAGUAUGCUCUUUUUAGAAUUUAAGAACCUACAAUUUGGACCUCUCUUCACUAAUUAUAGAAUCCAUCAUUCAACAAAUAUUUAUUGAUUGUCUACUAUGUGCCAUGCUCUGUUCCAGGCUUUAAGGGUACAGUGGUAGCAAUCACAGAUAGGACCCCAUUAUUCUGUCUACACCUUGUGAGGGGAGAUAGUCAAUAAAGAAACAAACAAAAUAA
rnacentral:sRNA from 1 species